rnacentral:lncRNA from 10 species
UGUCUUGCUCUGUCACCCAGGCUGGAGUGAAGUGGCAUGACCUUAGCUCACGGCAGCCUCAAAUUACUGGGCUUAAGUGAUCUCUUUCAAAUCAAGAACCUGAGACACAGAGAAUUAAGUAACUUGUCAAAAGUCCCACCGUUUGGGAUACAGAAGAAAACCAAGUUGAUGAAGAGAAAUAUCAGAAAGCUUGUCUUCUGAAAUCUUCUGAGAAAGAUAUAAGAAAUUAUAAGCAUAAUGACUACAGCAGGAUUGUAAAACUGAGGACUGUCUUUCACAGUUUUUGGUGAGAAGCAGUCUGAAAUCACAGCUAAUGCAAGGACCCAUGCUGAGCACAACCACCUUCCUGCUGCUGAGAGUGGAUCACAGGGCUACCAGUAGAGAACUUGGUUUGUCUCACUCUGCAAAGGUUUUCUUCUUCCAAGUUUAAUGUCUCAAAUCUCAAAUCAUCUGCUAAUAGUAAUGUGGUACAUAUGUAGAGUCCUUUAUAUUUAUUAUAUUUUAAAGAUAUUUUUCUUUAUUUGCAUCCAACUUCGAAACAUAGUCACUAAUUCCAAGUCAAAGCAAUGUUAUUUUACUAAUUACAUCUUUACAUGUUAUAUCUCAUUUUUAGUAAUUCCUUAAUUUUAAUUUAUAACUUUAUGAAACUUUGCAUUUAGAUCAAUAUAUCAUUUUAAAGUAAUAUAAUUUUCCCCAUUUAUAAAAUAACUUUAUUGGCCUUGUUGUCUUCCCAGUCUCUCUUUUUAUGUAUUCUUGACAUAAAGACUUAUUGUUUUUAUUCUGAUCAAUCAAUUACUAUUUUUUUCAAUAAUGCUUCUUAUAAAGCUCAGUGACAAUAUACAUGUCAUACCUGCUCUCCUUCUCUUAAAUACAUAAAACCACAGUGCCAGAAAAGCAUUAUUCAAGUUAGUUAAAAGAUUUGGUGAAAAAUGGUAAUAACAAAUUCUAGAACUUUUUAAAAAUUCACCUCCACCCACCCUCAACCUGAAAAAUCCAAAUUUUUCUUAUAUGUUAAUAGUGUAUAGAGAAGAGAUUGACCCUGCCCCCUGCCCCACC